rnacentral:rRNA from 1 species
AAGAUUAAGCCAUGCAUGUCUAAGUAUAAGCACUCAUACUGUGAAACUGCGAAUGGCUCAUUAAAUCAGUUAUCGUUUAUUUGAUAGUACCUUACUACUUGGAUACCCGUGGUAAUUCUAGAGCUAAUACAUGCUAAAAACCCCGACUUCGGAAGGGGUGUGUUUAUUAGAUAAAAACCAAUGCCCUUCGGGGCUACUUGGUGAUUCAUGAUAACCUAACGAAUCGCAU